rnacentral:misc_RNA from 1 species
AACGCACAUUGCGCCCCCUGGCAUUCCUAGGGGCAUGCCUGUUCGAGCGUCAUUAACAACCAUCAAGCGGGGUUUGUCGGCCUCGCUUGGUCAUGGGGGAUGGCCGCCCUCGGGCGUCCACCCCCGAAAUGCAACGGCGGACGGCCACCAGUGGCACCGGUGCGUAGUAAGUUAUUCUCUCGCCCGCACCCACGGAUUGGACUGUCCGGCCGCUUGAACCCCCCCCCAACAUCCAAUGGUUGACCUCGGAUCAGGUAGGGAUACCCGCUGAACUUAA